rnacentral:misc_RNA from 1 species
AUAAUCAUAGAAGACACUGUAAAAUAAAUACACUGUAAAAUGAAUAUUAAGUGAUAUUAUUGACAGAAAUUGAAAUUGACUGAAAUUGAGGAAUAAAAAUUAAACAACCCUAAAUUGAGAGAUUAUGAGUAAAUUCAACUCCUUUCUGUGUGACAUUGAGAGGUGACUGUUAAUGAUACUGAGGGACGCUAUCAUUAUUAUAGAUUCAUCAGUGAGUGAAUGUGUCAAAUCAGAUACUGUGUACAUGCAUUGCUUGUAAAGUCUCCAAGCCCUGUAGUCCCUUAUGGGAGGUUAUUCUGUGACAUUCAUACCUAAUUUGGAAUACUUCCAACAUUCAUCAAGUACUAGCAAUUUCCUUAUCAACAAAUCUGAUUAUUGUCCCAAGCCAAUCAUCAGGAAUAGUGCCUCUCACUUCUCCACAUAAGGCCCUCAAUGAGUGGCUUGUUGCUGCCUUCACAAUGUAGACAUCAAUGCCAAGUUUAGCUAUCAUUGCAGCUUCUGAUAUUUUGGUCACCAUCCCCCCAGUUGUAUCAUGGGCUGCUACAGUUAUCUCAACUGUUGAUAAAGAAGUGGAAACCUUAUUUUGAUCUGGUGUUAUAAUCUCAAACAGCAGAGGCAUAAUCUCCUAUACCAAUAGGAAUAUCACUUCUAUUCAAAACAAAAUGAGUAAUCAAAUUUAUCACUUCCAUCAACAAUCAGGGAGAAAAAAUGGGUAUUUAUCCUAAAAUUAUAAUCUUUAUGGCUUUAGACUAUCAUAGACCCAAUAUCAUGCGUCUAAUAGAUGCAUGAAAUGAGAGUCCAUGGAACAUCUAAAUAGUCAUGUCUAAAUAAUGCAAUAAAAGAAUUUAAGAUUGAAAUUUUCUAUCAGAAAUAUUUUACAACAUCAAAGCUUAAUUACGUGCACAAACCUUGCUUAUUCAUGUUCUGUAGUGCUGGCUUCACAACAGACCAGCUUCCGUCCUCAUUCACAGCUGUCAUGGUUAGAGAAUUGGUUAUGCACAUACAGUUUGAAAGAUCCACAUGCAAGAUCUGGGGAGAAUGUGAGCACUCACCAAUUUCCCUCAAGAGUACUGCAUCAGGUUCUGAAGGUGGACGGUCAUACACACCCAAAACAUCUGUAAGAAAAACAACAUAUUCAGGUUUCAAGUAGGCUGCAAGAUGGCGUAUAAUGACAUCACCACUCAAUAUGGUGCAUUCCUGAUUAAAUGAGGAAUUCAAUAUCAUGUCAACUCCAAUUCUAUAACUACAAGGCUGCACUCAUGUAUCCUCAAAGAGAGAAAACCUGUAACUCAUCGAGUACAGCAUCUCCAUGUAGAACCUAGAAGGAAAAUAAAAAUCCAUGAUCAUACAUCAUUUUCAACCAAAAAGAGAAAAAAAUGGAAAAAAAAAUUCAAGAGAGAAUAUAAGGAUGCCAAAUGAAAGUAAUCACAAGUCUCCUUAACGUAAGUACAUACAAAAACAAGAGGUUUGUGCUAAAAGUAUGCCUUACUGAUCACUAGAGGAUAAUCUUGUUCAUGCAUAAUGGCUACACCCUUUGACCUAAGAAUCAUAUGAUUUUUCAAAAAAUGUAAACUGUAGGAAAUAUAAAAUAUGCCUCCUAAGACCCUGCUUUGGUGGUACCAUAUCAGGUACUGAAUGAUAUUGCGAUUUCAGAAUCCUUGACUAAUUAUUCAUCAUGAAAUGUGAAAUGAAUGGCUUUGCUCUAGGGAUCAGCUUGCAUAUAUUCUUCCAUACCGGAGAACAGGCAACUUGAUCCUAUUGGUCCAUAUUUAUUUGAAUUUGAUAUAUCUAGUUUUGAUCCAGUCAGUCCAUAAGGAAUUGGAGUUGGAGGCUUGCAGCCAAACCUGCUUGAGAAGGCAGGCUUCAUUCCAUCGCCUAAUGCUUGGGAUGCCCAAGCAACCCUCCUUUUCCAUUUGCAAAGCUAUGGGUUGAGGUAUUUUGCCUUCUGUUGAAGAACCAAAUUUUUCAUAUCAUAUCAUAGUUAACUCAAGUAAACCUCAGUCCAAAACUAGCUAGGGUUGGUCUUGGUCAUCUUCGUUGUUUUUCUCUAUUAUGCUCCAUUUAGAGCAAAACUUUCUGUGAGUUAUUGUGAUGUCCGAAUAUAACAUCCCAAACAAUUGUGUACACCAUUUUACAAUUGACAUCAAAGACAUCUUUGACAUGACAUGAGAAUAACUGAUCAUCUGGUUUAGGUACAUUUAGUUUCAGUGAACUCCCACAUUCCAUGGAAGGGAAAAUAUAUUCUGUAAUGAAAAUUUUAUAAUAUUUUCAAGCCUCAAGGUAGCAAUAGGGAUUGAAGAAUUAUAUCUUACAGGUACAAAUCCAGAGUCAAUUGCCUUGGUCACCAGUGACAAAUCAGCUGAUGUCAUCUUUCUAUCUGAGGUUGACCAUCCACAUGAAAAUGGAGACAUUCCAACAGAAGGAAUACCCUCUGUGAGAAAAGAACAUAAAAGAGUGAUGCAGUUCACAUCCAGAAACAAAUUACAGCAAUAGAUGCUAAGAAGAAACUAGCAAACAUUAAUGGACGGAAAUUUCAUGACUAGAUUAAGUGUCACAUUCCAAUUACACAACAUCAAGAUACCACUUACAAAUUUCAAUGGUCAUAAUUUGUUAGAGCAAGAAACAUGACUCAGAAAAUGAAAACUAAAGAGAUGAUAUCAAAUAUUCCAAAACCAAAGCAAUUGAUAGUUGAUAAAUCACAUGUUGAAAAAUAAUAUUGCACUGCAACAACCCUAAGCACAAACAAUAGAACAAAGAGAUAGAGAAGCAAGAAAAGGAAAAGACAGAACUUUAUUUGGUUAGUAAUGUAGUUACAUCUGUCUAUAGGACUAUUAUGCGAAAAAUACGCAUAAAUACACACAAAUUAGAAAUAGAGAGAGAAAAGCUAACUCAAGGAUUUUACAUGGUUCAGCAAGUCUGCCUACAUCCAAAGGCAGCCACAUGCUUUUUCCACUUGAAAAGAAAAUAUUACGGCCCUAUUUAUAUUGAUCUAAUCCUCGUACAUCCAAGAUUCCUAAUACAAACAGGUUUUACAAAAUAACCAUCCAAUAAUAAUAAAAGGACCAAGAUCAUAAACACCAUACUGUACGCCCUUGCACCCCCAACUACAUACUAAAGAGCUAAACAAAAAUUAUCCUUGACUUGGGGAGCUCUUCAAAAGAAAGGGUAUUCCGCCUGUCGUCACCAGCUAUCUUUGCUGGGGGCCCUAGUGAACAGUAAAUUCCCCUUUAAUAAAUAUGAGCCAUAACUCAACAAUCUAUAUUAGUUUUUAGACAAACAACACAAUAGUACAGCCACUAUUACAAUCUUUUAGUGUUUCUCCCCUAUUGUUACUGUUGGAAUUGAUGAGACUCCAUUUUAAGGGACAGUGCUAUGUAAAGUCAAUAUAGAUUUUAUAUAUUCCUAAUAAAUAGAUUCCUAAUUAGUAGAUUUCAUAUAUUCCCAUUUAGUAUAGGAUUUAUA